AGAGCGAACGCUGGCGGCAGGCUUAACACAUGCAAGUCGAGCGGAUGUAGCAAUACAUCAGCGGCAGACGGGAUAGUAACACGUGGGAACGCGCCCUUUGGUUCGGAAUAACUCAGGGAAACUUGAGCUAAUACCGGAUAAGCCCUUACGGGGAAAGAUUUAUCGCCAAAGGAACGGCCCGCGUCCGAUUAGCUAGUUGGUGAGGUAAUGGCUCACCAAGGCGACGAUCGGUAGCUGGUCUGAGAGGAUGACCGGCAUCACUGGGACUGAGACACGGCCCAGACUCCUACGGGAGGCAGUAGUGGGGAAUAUUGGACAAUGGGCGCAAGCCUGAUCCAGCCAUGCCGCGUGGAUGAUGAAGGCCCUAGGGUUGUAAAGUCCUUUUAACGGGGAAGAUAAUGACGGUACCCGUAGAAUAAGCCCCGGCUAACUUCGUGCCAGCAGCCGC
rnacentral:rRNA from 1 species